CGCAUUACGUCAUCUUUUCAAUGGCUUCCCCACGUGGUUGUUGUUUCGAUCUGUUUGUAUAAAAAUAUGGAAACGUUAAAAAUAUGAUAUACGAAAUUAAAAACUAUCUAAACGGAUAUCUGGCUGCAUCAAACUGUGAAAAUUAAUCAUUUCGAUUUGAUAUCUGUAGAAAUAAAGCUCGUAAACGUGAAAAUAUAUUUGUAAGGAAAAUGUUCGUGCGCCCACGUACGAUUAUUUUUCAUAUAAAUGUAUAUUAUUUUCGAUGUUAGUACGAGGAAAGUAUUGAUUUUGAAGUUUCUACUUUUAGAAAGAGAGAGAGAGAGAGAGAGAGAGAGAGAGAGAGAGAGAGAGAGAGAGAGAGAGAGAGAGAGAGUAACCAUCCGAUUCGUUCAAAGGUCCGUUUUUGUUGACAGUCCAUCGCUCGUUGUUUUAUGAUGGUUUACGUCAACGAUAAAUACAGGUAUAAUUUUUCAACGAUUUUGACGAACGAGAUCGUUUUAAAGAUGAAGAUUCCAGUGAGAAUACGAUUCUUCCGAACUUUCGAAUACGCGCUUCGUUUUCUUCGAAAAAAUUCUGUCAAAAAAUGAUGUUUUCUCGACAAUAAUUCAUGCAUGAAAAUAAAGGAUAAGGUUAAGUUUAAAAAACAUUUAAAUGGUCGUUAUAGCAAAGUCUCGUUACGCACACGUAAAUUUGUCUGUUUUUAAAUACAUACAAGAGGCUCUUCAUAGAAAGAGAAAGAUAACAUUAGUAUAUAGAUAAUAGCUUAAAGGUUUCUCUACCUAUUGUUUCCGGCAAAUAACGAAAGAAAAACCAGUCGAGCGAUAAAUUGUUAUUACUACGUGUGUAUAUAUAUAUAUAUAUAUAUAUAUAUAUAUAUAUAUAUAUAUAUGUCGUACAAUUCGGAGAAUUUGAGAAGUCUUUCCGAGAAAAAUGUUUGUAAAUAAACAAGGGACGGUCGGAGAGAUCGGCCUUGGCACGACUUUCCCCCAUUCGUCGUCGUUACUAACGCGCUGCUAGUACGCAGUAUUCGUUCCUCUAAGCAGCUAUCUGGACGUGUUUCAUCUAGACAACGAAUGAUUCUAACACGCUUGCAUCGUGUAAGUAUUAUAUUUCUUAAGUAUUUCUCCUAAGUUAAUUUACAUUGAUAAUCUAAUUGGCACUUGAUAUAGCUUCAUUCAGAAUGAUAAAGAUUAUGCUAGUAAUGAAACUCAAGUUGCAGUAACUUCGUAGACUGUCGCAUAUGCGCGUACAUUACCUGUGCAAUGAAAUUCAAAGAGAAAGAUAGAAACACGAUAUUGUAAUUGUUGAAUUCCUUCUUCUUAUCAAUUUUUAAUUAUAUUUAUGAUAGAUUAUAAAUAACAAUAAAAAAGCUUUUAUAAUGGGGAUUAAUUUAAAAAAUACUAAAUAUGCUCUUUGUAAUAUAUUUAAAUUUUAUAAAAAAAUGAACAGUUUAUGCAAUUAAUCGUAAUUGUGUAUUCUGUAAAAAGUAAAAAUUAAAGUAUUAUUAGUGUACGAUAUUCGUGAUCGUUUACUGCGCACAUAAAUUUUCAACGAUGUCCAGUUGACAAUAGAACAAUUCGUAGCUCAGCGAAACAAAACGAUAUGUACGAUUACAUAAAACUUGAUUUCUUCAAUUUUCUGUAAAUAUUUAUUAAUGAAUAAAAUAAAAGUAUAAUGCAAAGUACUAAAGAAAGUUAUCGACCAUGCAAUAUUCGAUCUUGAAAAAUCGACUAAGUGUGUACGUGAGUGCCUGUGUAUCAUCGAGUCUCAUGCAGAAUCGCAAUCCAGAUGUAACCAUGGACGUAUCCUCGGAUGCAACCCCGGACGCAAUCUCAAACGCAACCUAACAGAUUGUAAUGCUUCCUUUUUUACGCUUUAGCACGUUUAUCUUAAUAGUAUUAUUAAGGAUUCUAGUUUUAAGGUUAAUUUAUUUUUAAAGCUAAUUUUAGAUAUAAUAUUAGAAUAUAGUUAAUAUUAGAAAAAUAGCAGAUCGGUUAAUUAUCUGCCACUUAGUAAUUAAGAUAGUUUAAAAAGUUUGGAUGUGUAUUGAAUUGAUUCACGAGUGAGUACCAUUAGUUAUAAAGCAGCUAUUAUUUAUGUGUUAAUAUAUACUUUUGUUUCGUAAUUUUUCCAAUUAUCUUAUUUAACUUUUAAAUCUCCAAUUUCAGAUUUAUUAAUAACACGAUAUAUUAAUUUUAAAUAUAACAUAAUAGUGAUUAUAAAAUACAUGCACUUUGGAUAUUCUCGAGAUGUACAAAUCAUAUGUAAGAAUUAUAUGAAUCACUUAUGUCAGGACAAUUAUGUAGAACUUUUUAUAAUGGUAUUUUCAAAAUAAUUAGUAAAGAAUCCAGAUUUCUUUUCACGGGUAGAAUAGGACACGCGGUUGAUGAAUUUCUGUUCGUCUACGUUCCGAUCGAUUAAAUACGACUAAUUAUUAUAUUAUUUUCGUUCGUGAAUCUUGCGAUAGCAAUAUCCACGUGGUAAGACCUCUGUUGAGAUAUAGUCAAUCUCUCUUUUAACACUGCUGAUAUAAGACUAUAUAAAGUGAAAUGUGUAUUAUAUACUUUAUUACUAUUAAAUCUGUGUGAUUAUUUAUUUCUCAACUGGAAAACUGUUUAGCAAAUCAUUUAGUAUCGUCAUCAUUCGAUGUAAUUGACGUUGCAAUUUAUAUCUCUACAUUUUUCGCUGAUUUAAGCUCCUUUAUAAAAUGUUGGGCUUUAUAUCAUAUAGUAAUAUUCACUUUAUUCUAUUUGAUAUAAUACGGCUCGGUAUAAGUAUACAUAUGUCUUCUAAAUAUAUUUCAAAUGUCUAUUAUAAAAAAGGCAUGCCUACAAUGUGAAUUAGACAAAAGCAUUUAAAAAGAAAUUUAUUAUGCAAUAAAAUAAACAAAAUCACUCAAUAGUAGACAAAAUUAUUUAAAAAUUAUACAAAACGAUCUAAAAAUAUCUGCAUUUCCGAGUGAAGUAAUCAAAACCAUCGGAGAAUAAUUCUACUACUUCGAAAUGUAAAUAAAAUCAUACAAAAGCAGACAAGACCAAUUAGAAAUCCAAACAAAACCCCUAACGCAAUUCGGAUAGAUGCAAUCCGUGCUCGAUCAAAUAUAGAAAUCGCUCGAUCGUUAUAGAAAUACGUUCAAUAUUAGAACCUACGAUGCUUACUAAAUGUAGAUUCAUACACAUAUUCAUUCAUAUUUUUGAAAUAAAUCGCGAAAAGGAAAAAAUAAGUAUAUUUCACGUUCGGAUCACAAAAAAGAAAAAAUUCUGUACUUUUUCUUAUUCGAUGAGAGGCAGUCUAUCAAGGUAAUGAUCGACAACAAUAAAAAGAUGAGGCUUUGAUAAGUAAAUAAGUUUAUAUUUACAGCGAUUAUCGUUCACCUUAUGUUCGCAACAAGUUACAUAAUAAAAGUGUCGCUAACUUCUAGUUUCGAUAUAUUUGCGCAGGAUGAGUAAAAUGUAUAGUUUUUCCCAUUGAUUUAAUCAAUAAAAUUUUUUCAUUUAUAUUCGUGAUUCCCCUGCGUGAAUAUUAAAUAUUACAUUUAUAUAUAUACUAUAAAUCACGUUUUUUCUCUCGUCAUCUUUUCACGUGUUUAUGUACUUGUAUAUCGCAAACACAAAUCUAUAAGACACACGUAGUUAUAGUUUUCUUUAAACAACGUUAUGCAUUUAUUAUUACACGAGCGUGUAUGCUCUUGCCUCUUACAUUCGUAAUUCAUUAUUUUCACUUUGUUAUCAUAAUAUAAAAAUCACAGCAUACAAGAAGCCUAAUACAACUUAUCGAUUUAUCUUCAUGGAGUACGGUCACAAAUUUGCACAAACGUUCAUUAUAUUUUUCAGAUUUUCAAUUUUAUAUUUGUUUUGUGCAAAAGUACUACAAUAAUCUUGAAAAGCGGCUCUUUCUCUCCCUCCCGCUCUCAUUUUCUCUCUCUCUCUUUCUCUCUCUCCCUCUCUCUCUCUCUCUCUCUCUCUCUCUCUCUCUCUCUCUUUCUCUCUCUCUCUCUC